rnacentral:rRNA from 1 species
AUGAUUUUACGUGAUCGUGAAGGUGAUGUCAUUUUUGCCGCGAUACGGGUCCUUUUUAACUGUGGUGAUCCCUUGGAAGCCGAGAUGGCGGCGCUGGAUGAAGGACUACAACUUGCUCUUCAUUGGACUAACCUGCCGCUGCUUGUUGAAACGGAUAGUGGCGAGCUGUUAAAGAUGGUGCAGUCGAAAGAUAAAGACCGGUCGAGGUAUGCGUACCGGGUUAAUGAGAUCAGAAGAGUUCUGGCUCAAGAAAGGAACAUUAGUCUAGCUAAGAUCAGCAGGCACGCAAAUUUGGCGAGCCACACCCUAGCUUGUAUG